GUCAAUAAGCGGAGGAAAAGAAACCAACCGGGAUUGCCCUAGUAACGGCGAGUGAAGCGGCAAGAGCUCAAAUUUGAAAGCUGGCCCCCUCGGGGUCCGCAUUGUAAUUUGCAGAGGAUGCUUCGGGAGCGGUCCCCAUCUAAGUGCCCUGGAACGGGCCGUCAUAGAGGGUGAGAAUCCCGUAUGGGAUGGGGUGCCCGCGCCCGUGUGAAGCUCCUUCGACGAGUCGAGUUGUUUGGGAAUGCAGCUCUAAUUGGGUGGUAAAUUUCAUCUAAAGCUAAAUAUUGGCCGGAGACCGAUAGCGCACAAGUAGAGUGAUCGAAAGAUGAAAAGCACUUUGAAAAGAGAGUUAAACAGCACGUGAAAUUGUUGAAAGGGAAGCGCUUGCGAUCAGACUCGCUCGCGGGGUUCAGCCGGCCUUCGGGCCGGUGUACUUCCCCGCGGGCGGGCCAGCGUCGGUUUGGGCGGCCGGUCAAAGGCCCCUGGAAUGUAACGCCUCUCGGGGCGUCUUAUAGCCAGGGGUGCCAUGCGGCCUGCCCGGACCGAGGAACGCGCUUCGGCUCGGACGCUGGCAUAAUGGUCGUAAGCGACCCGUCUUGAAACACGGACCAAGGAGUCUAACAUCUACGCGAGUGUUCGGGUGUCAAACCCGUGCGCGCAGUGAAAGCGAACGGAGGUGGGAACCCCUCGGGGUGCACCAUCGACCGAUCCUGAUGUCUUCGGAUGGAUUUGAGUAAGAGCGUAGCUGUUGGGACCCGAAAGAUGGUGAACUAUGCCUGAAUAGGGCGAAGCCAGAGGAAACUCUGGUGGAGGCUCGCAGCGGUUCUGACGUGCAAAUCGAUCGUCAAAUUUGGGUAUAGGGGCGAAAGACUAAUCGAACCAUCUAGUAGCUGGUUCCUGCG
rnacentral:rRNA from 1 species